rnacentral:lncRNA from 1 species
CCAGAAACCUCCAGAGUGGGGGACACAGAGGGGAGGACAGGGAUGGGGGAGCCAGGCUGCAGGACACCCCUCCAGAGCUUCCAGGUAGUUCCAGGAUCUUCCAGUUCACCUGUGGGAAAGUGAACAGACCUUCCGGGUGGAAAUGUGCUCAUUUUGCUGCUGACGAAGGCUGGAGGUGCCAUGCCCACCCACAGCCAUGGGCGCAGGCUGUGCCCAAGAAAUAACCACCCAGGCAGCUCUGGGAGCAGCACUCAGGAGGCAGCCACAAGGGGUUAAAAUGGAGAGUGCCAGGUGGCAGCUCUGCCACACCUCUGUCAGCAGGAACGUGGCCACACCACGCGCCCGGCGCCUGAGUGAGCAGGUGCCCUGCCAUGGCUCGUGGGCAUUUCGGGAGGAUCCUGCCUUGCUCCCCAGUUCCUGUUGGCUUGGCCUCCAACGGAGCUGCAGAGACUUUGGGGAGCCUCUCUGUACCCCUGCUCUCUGA